UGCGUAGGCGGAUCAAUAAGUCAGUGGUGAAAUCUCUCGGCUCAACCGGGAAACUGCCAUUGAUACUGUUGAUCUUGAGUUCGGUUGAGGUAGGCGGAAUGUGUAAUGUAGCGGUGAAAUGCUUAUAUUACACAGAACACCAAUUGCGUAGGCAGCUUACUAGACCGACACUGACGCUGAGGCACGAAAGCGUGGGGAGCGAACAGGAUUAGAUACCCUGGUAGUC
rnacentral:rRNA from 1 species